UUGGGUGCGUAAUGAUAAGUAUAUAUUUAGAGAAAAACUAAGUGAAAACUAAUACCACUUUCUUGAGUAAAAACAAAAAUAGAAACAAUUUUAAUUUGUAUAUUCAUGGUGGCAAUAUUCUAUCAAGCCUUUGCAACUGAUUCUUUAAUGGCGUUUAUGUGAAGCUCAAACGACCUUUAUGAACUAAUGCAGUGCCUCUUUGAAUCUUUGGAAUUAAUCAAAUGAUAACAUUCUAGUUAUAAAAUAUUUUUUCUUAGU
rnacentral:lncRNA from 1 species